ACGCGUCGUUUAUUGUGAUACUCACUUUGACUAUUGGAGUGAAGUUUCCACGUGCCACCGCACGCGAGCGAGAAAAUCUGGCGGUGGCGGUGACUCAUUACCACCGUCCGCAUUGCCUCUUACCUUGUGUUUGGCUGCCCUGAAUAACAGUAACUCUUGACUGCAUUCAGCUUUCUAUCUUCUGUUUGGCUGAGAAUUUUCUCGGAAACCAAACACCAUAGUGUUAUAGAAGGCCCUCUUUCUCUUUGGAUGGUUCAUGUAAAGAGCAUACUGUUUGAUAAAUGGAAGCUCCCGAAGACCUCGUCUCAAACGUAAUGGAUCAUCCUUUGCAUUCUCCGAAACUAGCAGGAACUGUCAACUGGGGCACGGCGACUGUCAUCGGAGUGUUUGCAGGCUUGUUUUACGGUGGUAGCAAGGAAGCAGCUGCUUCAGUUUGUUGUAAUCUUCGAAAAGAUUGGAUAUCGACAGACAUAUUUGAUUGGCAGAGCAAAGAUGCAGAAGUAAUGUUGAAGCUGGGGAGCACGCCAGACAAGCGUGAACAAUAUCGUCUCAUGAGAGAUGCAAUGGAGAAAAGGUUCAUUCGUGUCACUCGGGGCUCGAUAGUUGGUGGAGUGCGUCUUGGAUUGUUUACUGCAACCUUUUGUGGUAUACAGAAUCUGUUUGCCGAGAAGAGGGGCGUGCACGAUGUUUUCAAUGUUGUUGGAGCCGGAUCAGCCACUGCUGCUACGUUUGCUCUAAUAAUGCCCGGAUCAUUGGCUUGGCGAGCAAGAAACGUGAUGUUGGGUGCUGCCCUAGGGGCGGCGUUUGGUUUUCCACUUGGGUGGGCCCAUUUGAAGCUGGUAGAGAAGGCAAAUGAAGGGAAUGCGGCUGCACAUCCUGAUUCAGAUCAAAGAGAAGCAAGGAGUGGUGUUGGCACUGCAAUUGACAGGCUGGAAGAAAACUUGAAUAAGUAGAACAGAAAAUUCUGCAAGGCAAGACCUCCCCGUUGUCCCGUGCCAAAAGAGAAGGUUGAAAAUUCGAGAAAAAGUAAUCAUCACUCCACUCCGAUCCUCCGAUCAGUUCUGAGUUCAGUCGACUACAGCGAAGUUUGAUACGGUUCAAAAGAGUGAGCAAAUGGCUAGAGUGAGCAAAUGGUUGUAGCAGCCACUCAACAGCAGCGUGAAUCCUCCGAUCAGUUCUAAGUUCAGUCGACGGCAGCAAAGUUUGGUACGGUUCAAAAGAGUGAGCAAAUGGCUAGAGUGAGCAAAUGGUCGUAGCAGCCAGUCGACAGCAGCGUGAAUCCUCCGAUCAGUUCUAAGUUCAGUCGACUACAGCAAAGUUUGAUACGGUUUGUUCUCAUAAAUUUGCACUGAAAUCAACUGACCUGACCAUCUUUCCUUUCUAUGAUUCUUCACUCACUCUGUCCAGACAUAAAAGGUUUCAACCCAUAUGAACAAUGUACGUCUUCCAGAUUUCCACCGUUGCCUUCCACUGAUGCUCAGCCGCAUUCCCGACAUCCGGAUUAUUCAAUAUUCUAUGAUCUGAUGAAGAAGAGAGCAUCCAACCCGAGUUGAAUUGCCUUCUUGUUUAAUACCACUCGCUUUCACCUCCUCCAAAUGUUUCUUAACCACACUGCAUAUUUUUUCUUCAUAAUUUUGAAUAUCCAUCCGGUAAUUUAACGCAUUGGUUGGA